GGAGGGGUGGCUGAGCGGUUUAAAGCACCGGUCUUGAAAACCGGCGAAGGUGAAAGCCUUCCGAGAGUUCGAAUCUCUCCCCCUCCGCCA
rnacentral:tRNA from 1 species